GAACCUGCGGAAGGAUCAUUAAAAGAAUCUGUACCUAGCUUCGUCGUAAGCCUAGAGAUACAAUUCCAACCCAUUCUGCGUAUCAUUCCUGUUGCUUCCGUGGGGUGGAGUUUGAGCAUGUCUCGGAUCGCUCCGACUAGUCAGUUGGCUGGUCCCCGCGGGAGGUACCCUACAAACCAUUUGCAUUUAUUUUGCCUUCUGUCUGAAUAAUGUUUAUAACAAUUGUUAAAACUUUCAACAACGGAUCUCUUGGUUCUCGCAUCGAUGAAGAACGCAGCGAAAUGCGAUAAGUAGUGUGAAUUGCAGAAUUCAGUGAAUCAUCGAAUCUUUGAACGCACAUUGCGCCUCCUGGUAUUCCGGGAGGCAUGCCUGUUCGAGCGUCAUGAAGACAAUUUCAAGCUCUUUUGCUUGGUUUUGAAGGUUGAGUGUUGCGCUUGCGCUCGUUCACCAUUGAAAUUCACAGGCGGACGGUUUCGUGUUCCUUCUGGCGUUAUAGGUUAACUCUCUCGCUUGGAUACGUGAACCUGUCCUGCCCCAAAACCCCCAAUUAACUUGUGGUUGACCUCGGAUCAGGUAGGGAUACCCGCUGAACUUAAGCAUAUCAAUAAGCGGAGGAAAAGAAAC
rnacentral:rRNA from 1 species